rnacentral:rRNA from 1 species
CAAACUGCGAAUACCGGAGAAUGUUAUCACGGGAGACACACGGCGGGUGCUAACGUCCGUCGUGAAGAGGGAAACAACCCAGACCGCCAGCUAAGGUCCCAAAGUCAUGGUUAAGUGGGAAACGAUGUGGGAAGGCCCAGACAGCCAGGAUGUUGGCUUAGAAGCAGCCAUCAUUUAAAGAAAGCGUAAUAGCUCACUGGUCGAGUCGGCCUGCGCGGAAGAUGUAACGGGGCUAAACCAUGCACCGAAGCUGCGGCAGCGACACUGUGUGUUGUUGGGUAGGGGAGCGUUCUGUAAGCCUGUGAAGGUGUGUCGUGAGGCAUGCUGGAGGUAUCAGAAGUGCGAAUGCUGACAUAAGUAACGAUAAAGCGGGUGAAAAGCCCGCUCGCCGGAAGACCAAGGGUUCCUGUCCAACGUUAAUCGGGGCAGGGUGAGUCGACCCCUAAGGCGAGGCCGAAAGGCGUAGUCGAUGGGAAACGGGUUAAUAUUCCCGUACUUGGUGUUACUGCGAAGGGGGGACGGAGAAGGCUAUGUUGGCCGGGCGACGGUUGUCCCGGUUUAAGCGUGUAGGUGUGUGUUCCAGGUAAAUCCGGUUCACUUUAACACUGAGGCGUGACGACGAGGCACUACGGUGCUGAAGCAACAAAUGCCCUGCUUCCAGGAAAAGCCUCUAAGCAUCAGGUAACAUCAAAUCGUACCCCAAACCGACACAGGUGGUCAGGUAGAGAAUACCAAGGCGCUUGAGAGAACUCGGGUGAAGGAACUAGGCAAAAUGGUGCCGUAACUUCGGGAGAAGGCACGCUGACACGUAGGUGAAGUGAUUUACUCAUGGAGCUGAAGUCAGUCGAAGAUACCAGCUGGCUGCAACUGUUUAUUAAAAACACAGCACUGUGCAAACACGAAAGUGGACGUAUACGGUGUGACGCCUGCCCGGUGCCGGAAGGUUAAUUGAUGGGGUCAGCGCAAGCGAAGCUCCUGAUCGAAGCCCCGGUAAACGGCGGCCGUAACUAUAACGGUCCUAAGGUAGCGAAAUUCCUUGUCGGGUAAGUUCCGACCUGCACGAAUGGCGUAAUGAUGGCCAGGCUGUCUCCACCCGAGACUCAGUGAAAUUGAACUCGCUGUGAAGAUGCAGUGUACCCGCGGCAAGACGGAAAGACCCCGUGAACCUUUACUAUAGCUUGACACUGAACAUUGAGCCUUGAUGUGUAGGAUAGGUGGGAGGCUUUGAAGUGUGGACGCCAGUCUGCAUGGAGCCGACCUUGAAAUACCACCCUUUAAUGUUUGAUGUUCUAACGUGGACCCGUUACCCGGGUUGCGGACAGUGUCUGGUGGGUAGUUUGACUGGGGCGGUCUCCUCCUAAAGAGUAACGGAGGAGCACGAAGGUUGGCUAAUCCUGGUCGGACAUCAGGAGGUUAGUGCAAUGGCAUAAGCCAGCUUGACUGCGAGCGUGACGGCGCGAGCAGGUGCGAAAGCAGGUCAUAGUGAUCCGGUGGUUCUGAAUGGAAGGGCCAUCGCUCAACGGAUAAAAGGUACUCCGGGGAUAACAGGCUGAUACCGCCCAAGAGUUCAUAUCGACGGCGGUGUUUGGCACCUCGAUGUCGGCUCAUCACAUCCUGGGGCUGAAGUAGGUCCCAAGGGUAUGGCUGUUCGCCAUUUAAAGUGGUACGCGAGCUGGGUUUAGAACGUCGUGAGACAGUUCGGUCCCUAUCUGCCGUGGGCGCUGGAGAACUGAGGGGGGCUGCUCCUAGUACGAGAGGACCGGAGUGGACGCAUCACUGGUGUUCGGGUUGUCAUGCCAAUGGCACUGCCCGGUAGCUAAAUGCGGAAGAGAUAAGUGCUGAAAGCAUCUAAGCACGAAACUUGCCCCGA